GGGGUGGUGGCGCAGUUGGGAGCGCGUUAGACUGAAGUCACAAACUUUGGCCGUUCCCUGACCAAGGGAAGUUAUCUAAAGGUCACCGGUUCGAUCCCGGUUCACCCCA
rnacentral:tRNA from 1 species